rnacentral:lncRNA from 1 species
GCCCUGCCGGUGCCAUCCUGCAGGACCGCCCGGCGCGGCCGAGUCUGGGCCGGCGGCGGCUGGGAAGCCAGGAGCGUUCUUAUCGGGCCUCGGACGACUUUACAAGCUAUUUCAAUGCCAUAAAAGUUUAUAGCCCUGCUUUAACUAGGGAGACUACAGUCGUGUACCGGAAACAAUUAGGGAAUAAAAUGAGGGAUAAUUAAAUGCCAAAAUUUGGGCCGCAGGUUUCACAAGUGCUGUAGGAAUUCGGGUGGAGGUUGACACUGCAAACGCACGUGAUCGCAGUCUUUCUGGCUAGGGUAGCAGCUUUAUUAGUCUGUACUGGGGCACCAUAAUGCAGACAAGAAACACUUUGAAAUCUUUAAUGCUCCUGGUGAGAUGAGGAACAGCUCUGUGGCAUUGCCAGCGGAGGAUAUCCAGUCCUUCCACAAAACAUACAACCAAAAACAAGGAAGGAAGAAAAGCCAAAGCCUAGGCAAGCUCACUGACGCCGCUCUCUGGCUGCCUUCCGUGUCCUCCUCUCCAACGGGUGUUCCGGCCCUUUCUCGUGCUGGAGUGGCCAGAUCUACGACUUCAGUUUGAACUUGGGGAGAAGUAGGUGGGAUCUCUGGCUUGCUUUGGCAUGAGACCCAGUUAGUAACAGAGUCCUUCCAGCUUUAAGCUCAGCUCAGUAGACCUCUCUCUGUGUUUGGGGAGACUCUCCAGGUAAUAAUAAAGGAUUAUUUUACCGUG